ensembl:lncRNA
GUCAAGGUGGACAUUUCAACCAACACGCAUGCGCCCACAGUGACAAAUCCGAGCUGACCGCCAUCUUUUUUCCUCGGAGCCGAGCCGUCCAAGUAAGUACAUUUAAAAUUGUUUUAACUUAGUUCAUCUGUUGGUAAUGUGCAUUCGUCGUCUAAUGUCUCUCAGUCUCAAAUGAUCCGUAAACAUAACCUGUGAUGAAUAUUUCAUGUUCGUUUGUUUUUUGGAAAUACGUUAGCAUGUUAGCACCGGAGUGUCACAGCAAGUAUUUCAUGUAGGGUUGAGCCUCAUAUUCGACAUUAACAAGUAUUCGGCACCGCACUCAAUCAACCUGGCACAGCAUUAACAGACAGUGAGAUAACAGCGAGAUAACAGAGCAACUCAUGGUCCGUGGGGAAGAGGAGUGCAAAAAAAAACACUGACCACCGCCGUAGUGUAUGGACUAUAUUUUUAUGUUGAGUUAGAUGCGGUAUAAACACGUAGUGAUAGGUGAUUGUUUUCAUGUGUAGUGAUAAGUGUGCCGUUACACUCUGUAUCCAUGGCAACGCGCAGCAGUGGGGGUGAACAGUCGCGCAGACCGCCAGUUGGAGAUCAGACGUGGGUUUUUUGCAAGGGGGAAAGUAAAGUAUGAAUGUAGAUGGAUGUAGAUUAUGACAGACAGUAAACCUCCUCUAAUUAAUGUACUUGGAUAGGCAUUUGAUACAGACUGAAUAGAUAAGAAAAUGGCUCUGUAAGAUGGAGUAGAUGGAGAGAAGGCCAGAGUUCAAGUUACCUCUUUGAACUGAAAGCUCAGUUUCCGUCAUUUGAGGGUUGACAAAAACCAGAGUUCUGAUAUCAACUGAAUUCACGUAUUGUGUUUUUGCAGGCAUCAAACCAAAGGAAGAGAGCAGCAGCUUUGCAGGGACUGCCAUGGUACAUGAAGGAAAAUCCUUCUACAUUGAUGAAGAGAUGUGAGCCAACAGAUCCUGGGGAGGACUUCAUCAAAGGAAUGGUGAUUGGAAUCCUUUUGGUCGUUGAAGAUGUGAAAGAGCCCCUUCCAGUUUCCUACAACGAUGUUGCCAUUGUCAUUGAGGAAAAGAUUGUCAUGCGUCAUCUUGGUGAUGUACCCAACGCUUUUGUGAACCUGAUGGGCCUGCUGUACAUGCUGAACCUUGACUAUCCAAAAGAGAUGAAAUAUACUUUUGAGGUGAUUCAGCGCCUGUUCAUGGGAAUCGGGUCUGAGAUGUGCACUCCCAGGGUCCACUCUCUAAAGAAUAAUCUGCUCAGUUAGAGGGAUGGCUCAGGAGGAUGUUUCUGCAUUUUUCCACUAUGUUUUCUUCAUUUUCUUGCCAUUUGUCCACUAUGUAGUAAGAGGAAAUAAAUGUAAAGCCCUUCUGUGGGUCA